rnacentral:rRNA from 1 species
GAUGAACGCUGGCGGCGUGCCUAAUACAUGCAAGUCGAGCGAACAGACGAGGAGCUUGCUCCUUUGACGUUAGCGGCGGACGGGUGAGUAACACGUAGGUAACCUACCUAUAAGACUGGGAUAACUUCGGGAAACCGGAGCUAAUACCGGAUAAUAUUUCGAACCGCAUGGUUCGAUAGUGAAAGAUGGCUUUGCUAUCACUUAUCGAUGGACCUGCGCCGUAUUGGCUAGUUGGUAAGGUAACGGCUUACCAAGGCAACGAUACGUAGCCGACCUGAGAGGGGGGUCGGCGACACUGGAGGUGAGACACGGUCCAGACUCCUACGGGAGGCAGCAGUAGGGAAUCUUCCGCAAUGGGCGAAAGCCUGACGGAGCAACGCCGCGUGAGUGAUGAAGGUCUUCGGAUCGGAAAACUCUGCUAUUAGGGAAGAACAAACGUGUAAGUAACUGUGCACGUCUUGACGGUACCUAAUCAGAAAGCCACGGCUAACUACGUG